GCCGGGCAUGGUGGCGCUCGCCUGUAGUCCCAGCUACUUGGGAGGCUGAGGCAGGAGAAUUGCUUGAACCCAGGAGGUGGAGGUUGCAGUGAGCCGAGACUGUGCCACUGCACUUCAGCCUGGGCAACAGAGUGAGACUCUGUCUCAA
rnacentral:SRP_RNA from 1 species